UACAGAGGGUGCGAGCGUUAAUCGGAAUUACUGGGCGUAAAGGGCUCGUAGGCGCCAACUAAGUCAGACGUGAAAUCCCUCGGCUUAACCGGGGAACUGCGUCUGAUACUGGUUGGCUUGAAUCCGGGAGAGGGAUGUGGAAUUCCAGGUGUAGCGGUGAAAUGCGUAGAUAUCUGGAGGAACACCGGUGGCGAAGGCGGCAUCCUGGACCGGUAUUGACGCUGAGGAGCGAAAGCCAGGGGAGCAACGGG
rnacentral:rRNA from 1 species